GUUUGUGUUCUCCAAGAACUGGGAAUAUUACCUGAUGUCAUAGCUGUGUUGAUUAAAGAGAGAUAAUAAUUAAGAGCAUCUUCGUCUAAAUGUACUAUAAAAGAGUAUGGAAUGCCGUCUUCACCAGGCGCCGAGUCUUUAAUAACAGAAAGUACACCUUUUAAUUCAUUGACAGUGAAGGAUGAAUUAAGAUCAAAUGUAGAAUCAUUAUUAUUAACUAUUUCUGUAUUAAUAGUUAAAGGAUUUACAUGGAGCUGUUCUGGAACGAAAGUUGUACCAGUUGGCAUUACUUAAUUUAUACCUCAUACGGGGCUGUUUCAUCUGCUGCAAGGGUUUUGAAAAAGGAAAAGGAAUUAAUAAUGGAUAAUGAUCACUAUUAUAACUAUAGUUAAGCGGACACCAAACAAGAGAUGAAGCAAGAUCUGGUGUACAUAUCGAUAAGUCUGGUGAGCUGAGACCUUCAGUGGGUCUUGUGAUGCGUGUUGGCAUACCAGUAUUUAAAAUACAUAAGUUAUGGGAGUCAAUUAACUCCAAUAAUUGGUCACCAUAACUAUUGGAUGAAGAGGAACCCCAAGUCUGAUGAAAGCGACCAAAUGUGACGGGAUGCAAUGUUGUGUUGCUGUUAUCAUCUGAGAAUUCCCUCUGGACAUGAAUUAUAUAUGGUGCUGCAUCUGAUGGCUGAUACCUAGUGCGAGCAAUAGGUGUUCGAGUGAUUUCAGUGUUUUGUGUAAUAUUAUUGUUAAGAGCAGUAGAAACUGCAUUUUGAGAUUUGGAAUUGACUUCAGAAUCUUUAUUAUUAUAUUGAUCUAU